UCCCAGCCCCGAUAGCAGCGUUUACCCCGGAGCAUGAGAGGGAGAGUUGGUGGGUAAGAGGCUGGGGUAGGUUGGGGCGAGGAGUAUGAGCGGAUAGCGGGAAUCAGC
rnacentral:sRNA from 1 species